rnacentral:lncRNA from 1 species
CGACGAAAGAAAAUAGCAGAAGUUGUCAGAGAUGCGCGCACCCCUUGUCACGCGCAUCUUGGCUAGCAAGUUGUGUAGUACUUUGCUCGAGGACAUUCCGGCAACCAUCUGUUUCCGGAAGAUCUCUGAGCGCAGAGUUGGAAGCGGAGUUCGCAAAUUUGCGGGGAAAGGUGGUUGUCUGCCAAUACGCCUGUUACUGUGAAAAUGCUCCGUUUGAUUUAUUUUCUUUUUCCACUCAACUUUUCUAAAGACCCAACAGGAGAAGAGAUCAAAAACGUGCACAUUAGAGAGAGCGAGAGAGAGACAGAGAGAGACAGAGAGACAGAGAGAGCGAAAGAAACAGAGAGAGAGAGAUGGAUAGAGGAAGAUUGAGCAAGAUGGAAGGAAGAGAGACCAGGGAACGUACAGGCCGGUGGAAGCUGGUCCACUGCAGGAUGCUGAGGAACAGGAGGUCCCUCCGCCCCCCCCUGGACAUCGGGGGGGCCCCGGCAUACACAGUCCGGUCCAUCUUGGACUCCAGGCGCUGGGUCGUGACCUCUCUCAGAAAGAAGCCCAACCCCUGUCAGCCAUCUCUCUGUGAGACCAACAUGGAGACGACUGAGUCUGUCUGUCUGUCUGUCUAUUUGUACUGUUGUUUACACUUGAUCAUGUCUGACCAUAUGACAUGUCUAUAAAGGUGAUUCUAGACAGAUGCAUAGACGGACGGACAGAUGGACGGAACAAGACAG